GACGAACGCUGGCGGCGUGCUUAACACAUGCAAGUCGAACGGAAAGGCCCUGCUUGCAGGGUACUCGAGCGGCGAACGGGUGAGUAACACGUGGGUGAUCUGCCCUGCACUUCGGGAUAAGCCUGGGAAACUGGGUCUAAUACCGGAUAGGAGCCAUUUUUAGUGUGAUGGUUGGAAAGUUUUUUCGGUGUAGGAUGAGCUCGCGGCCUAUCAGCUUGUUGGUGGGGUAAUGGCCUACCAAGGCGGCGACGGGUAGCCGGCCUGAGAGGGUGGACGGCCACAUUGGGACUGAGAUACGGCCCAGACUCCUACGGGAGGCAGCGGUGGGGAAUAUUGCACAAUGGGCGCAAGCCUGAUGCAGCGACGCCGCGUGGGGGAUGACGGCCUUCGGGUUGUAAACUCCUUUCGCUAGGGACGAAGCUUUUUGUGACGGUACCUAGAUAAGAAGCACCGGCUAACUACGUG
rnacentral:rRNA from 1 species